AUCACGCCAUCCAACCAUCCUUGC
rnacentral:siRNA from 1 species